AGGGAGAGCCAGUAUUAAGUGCCUAAUGUGGGUGAUGUGGGGGAUGGAGGCAGCAAACCACCAUGGCAUGUGUAUACCUAUGUAGCAAUCCUGCAAGAUCUGCACAUGUACCCCAGAAGUUAAGAGAUAUAUGUGUGUGUGUAUAUAUAUAUAUAUAUAUAUAUAUAUAUAUAUGCGCUGUACUGACAUAACAAAACAAAACACGACUUAUCUAUCGUAUUUGGUAGGUAAUAGGCAAUGAUAGAUGGUCUGUUAUCUCUAGGCCUCAGUAUUUUUCUCAGUGAUUUUGUGGGUCCUUUGAAAGAUUAUUAACACUUUAUUGAUAUUUGAUUCAGCAUUUUCUCCAGUUUGUGAUUUGUAUGGUGAUCUUGAAAAUUCUUUUCCAUGUUAAGAAUUUGAACAUUUUUAUAUUUAAUAAAACAUAUUACAAAAUUUAAAAAAGAAAAGAAAUAAAAAGGAUCAUAAGGGAAUGUUAUGAACAGGUGCAUGGCAAUAAAUUAGAUAACUUAGAUAAAAUUAAAAAAUUCUUAGAAAGACACAAAAUGCCCAAAUUGACUCAAGAAUAAAUAGACAAUUUUAAGAAACAUGUAACAAAUACAGAGAUUGAAUUAGUAAUUUAAAACUUCCCACAAAGAAAAGCCUAGGACCAGAUAGCUUCACCAGAUAGGAUUCACUGGUGAACCUACCAAACAUUUAAAGAAUUAUUAACAAUUUAUCAAGAACUCUUCCAAAAAAUGGAAGCAGAGUGAUAACAUUUCUUAACUUAUUUAUGUGGUUAAUAUUAUCUUGAUACUAAAACCAGACACUCUCCUCGAAAAAAAUACAGACCCAAAUCUCUCAUAAAUAGAACCACAAAGAUUCUGAACAAAAUACUAGCAAAUAAAAUCCAGCAAUACAGAAAUUAUACACUAUGAUCAGGUGGGAUUUAUCCCAGGGAUGCAAAAUUGGUUUAACAUUUGGAAAUCAGUUAAUGUAUUCCUCCUAUAUUGAUAGCAUAAAAAACAAACACCAUAUGAUCAUCCAAUAUAGGGUGAAGAUAUUUGAUAAAAAAUAACAUUGCUUCAUGAUAAAAAAAAAAAAAAAAAAGAGCCCUAAAAGCAAAAACAAAAAGCUAGGAAUAAAAGGGAUCUUCCUCAACCUAAUAAAGGUUAUCUACAAAAAACCUGACAACUAACAUGAUGUUUAGUGGUGAAAGAUUGAAUACUUUCCCCUGAGUGUCAGGAAAAGAUAAGAACAUUUGCAUUUGCUACUUUUAUUCAACACUGUAAGUUCUACCCAGGAGAAUUAGGCAAGAAAAAAAUAAAAAGCAUUCAGAUUGGAAAGUAAAGAAGGAAAAACUAUCUUGUAGGUGAUGUGAUCUUCUAUGGAGAAAAUCCUAAGGAAUCUAUUAAAAAUUAUUAGAACCAAUAAAUAAGUUCAGUAAGGUUGCAGUAUACAAGAUCAAUAUGCAAAACCAAUUGUAUUUCUAUAUAGCAGAAGUGAGAAAAUUAAAAAAUGAAAUUAAGGAAAACAAUUCCAUUUACAAUAGCAUCAGAAAGAACUAAAUUCUUAGGAACAAACUUAACCAAAAAAGUGCAAAAUAUAUACUCUGAAAACUACAUUGUUAAGUUAAAAAAGACCUAAAUAAAUGGAAAGACAUUCCAUAUUCACGAUUUGGCCGACUUAAUAUUGUUAAGAGGGCAAUUCUUCCCAAACUGAUCCACAGAUUUGAUGCAAUCUCUACCAAAAUCCUAGCUAACUUCUUUGCAGAAACUGAGCAGCAGAUUCUAACAUUCAUAGUAAAUGUCAAUUGACUCAGAAUAAAGAAACAAUACUGAAAGAGAAGAACAAAGGUGGAGGAUUGACAUUUCACAAUUUCAAAGCUAGAAAGCCUACCAUAAUCAAGACAGCAAAGCAUUAACAUAAAGAUAGACAUACAGAUCAAUGAAAUAGAAUAAAUAGUUCAGAAACAAACCCUAAUGUUUAGUUAAAUGAUUUUCAGCAAGAGUGCAAAGACCAUUUCAUUGAAGGAAUUUAAGAAAUGAUGCUGGGACAACGGGAUAGCCACACGCAAAAGAAUGAAUUUGGACACCUACUUCACACCAUCUACAAAAAUUAACUCAAAAUGGAUCAAAGACCCACAUGUAAGAGCAAAAACCAUAAAAUUCCUACAACAAAACAUUGGCAUAAAUCUUAUUGGCCUUGGGUUAGGCAAUGUUUUCUUAGAUAUGACAUCAAAAGCAUAAGAAAAAGAAAGAAAAAUACAGACAAACUUGACUUCAUUAAAACAAAAAGUUUUGUGCUUCAUAGAACACCAUCAAGAAAGUAAAAAGACAACCCAUAGAAUGAAAGAAAAUUUUUGCCAGUCAUAUAUCAAAUGAGCUAUCACAGUACUAGGCUACAUAAAGGACCAUUACAACUCAAUAAUACAAAGACAAAUAGUCCAAUUAAAAUAUAUGCAAAGGAUCUGAAUAGAUGGUUUUCCAAAGAAGAUAUGCAAAUAUCCAAAAGCACAUGAAAAGCUACUCAACAUCAUUAGCUAUCAAGGAAAUGCAAUUCAAAGCCAAAAUCAGAUACAACUUCAUAUCCACUAUAAUGUGCUAUAUUCUUAAUAUUCUCUCUAUAAAAGAGAGAAGAAAAAAAAAGAGAGAAUGAUAUGUGUUGGUGAGGAUGGGGAGAAAUUAGAAAGCUUGUAAUGCUGAUGGGAAUGUAAACUGGUGGAGCCCAUUUGUAACCAGUCUGCCAUCUCUCCAAAUAAAUUGUUUAACACGGAGUUACUAUGUGAUCCAGCAAUUCUACCAUAUAUAUAUAUGUGUGUGUGUGUGUAUAUAUAUAUAUAUAUAUAUAUAUAAUUCUACCAUAUUAUGUCCACACAAAAACGUGUACACAAAUAUUUAUAGCAGCAUUUUGCAUCAUAGCCAAGAAAUGUAAACUGCUCAAGUGUCCAUCAACUAAUAAAUAAACAAAUGUGGUAUACCCAUAUGAUGGAAUAUUAUUCAGCCAUGAAAAGCAAUAAAGUUAUGAUACAUGCUACAACAUAGUGAAUCUCUAAAACACUAUGCUAAGGGAAAUAAAUCAGUCACACAAGACCAUAUAUUAUAUGAUUCCAUGUAUAUGAAAUGCCAUAAACACAGGCAAAGCCAUAAACACAGAAAGUAGAUUAGUGGUUGCUUAGGGCUGGAAAGAGUGGGUGUCUGGGAGAUGCUAAAAGGCAUAUAGUUUCUUUCUGGUGUAAUGAAAAUGUUCUAAAAUUGAUUGCGGUGAUGAACACACAACUCUAGGACUAUACUGAAAGCCACUAAACUGUACACUUUAAAUGAGUGAACUGUAUGGUAUGUGAAUUGUAGCUUAAUAAAAGUGUUUAAAAAAACACAUUCCUUCCCCCUUGGGCUCCUUUUUAGGGGUGCUACUGUGGAGAGGGUCAAGAAGCUCUGAUGUCAUAGCAUACUGAGAGACCUGAAUUUCAUUCAGCACCAGCCCACUGGCUCCUGACCUUGGAGAAAUUGCAUCCCCUUUCUGGACUUCUAUUUCCUCAUCUGAAAAAUGUGGGUGUAGGGUUUGGUCCUUUUCACGAUAGUGUCUGCUAAGUUUGGAGACUUUUGUAAGAGACAUUCAAAACUAGGUGAAGGUGCUUUGGAAGAAAGUUUAAAGUACUGUUAAUGCAGAACUAGCUUAGCCUAGAGCAGAGCAAUUUAAAAACGGACAUGAGGGUGUUCUUUGAUAAACUUCUAAUACUGGCUGAAAGGCAGAGAAAAUUCAUCUUCUUUCUGGUAAGAUAAGCAGGCUGUGUGUGUGUGUGUGUGUGUGUGUGUUUCUCAGAAUUCUGUUUAGCCCAAGUCAAAGGAAAUGGCUGCAGGUUACCCCCUCUGAGCAGGAGGACCAUUUGAACAGUCAGUUUCUGCCAGUGUCUUCUGUGAUUGUUAGCUUGAGAGGCCCCUGGAGCAAUGGCUGAUGUGGGACAUCUCUGAGAGCUAAAUUCUGAGAUCAACACGGAAGGGUACAAAGCAGAAAUACACAAAAUCUCCAGAAAGAGCCAGCUAUCUCCAGUCAGCAUGAUCAGAAGGUAAUCUGAUUGUUACUGAUACACCUGAAGAAAAAUUUGGCAUUUGCAUAUUGACAGUAACCUAGCUAAAGUAAAAUUACACUGGUAAACUCUGCCUGUGACAAGGAACAUACAAGAGCAUUUAAUUUCUACAGAUUCGAAGAGACUUGGAACAGCAUAGGAAAAAAGAAAAUGUGGCUAUUCCAAAAGGCAAAAAAGGGCUAAAAUAAGAUCAAUUGAGUAGUUAUCAUACAUUGGGUGUAUACAGAUGUAUGUGUAAAUAAAAUGUAGGACAUUCCAAUAAAAUGUAGGACAUGUCCAAUUUGUAGGACAUUCCAAUUUACCUUCAUGUUUACCAUCACUUCCUUUCUCAAAAGAAUCUUUUGAGGGAGUAGUUUUUUUUAAUCCUCAUUCUUUAGACAAGAACAUUGAAACUUAGAGAGCUUAAGAUCACAAACAUAGCAAGUGGUUCAGCUGAGAUUAAAAUAUUUUACUCCAAAAGACCUUGUUACUUGUGCUCUACAUUUAUGUGUGCUUAAGACAUUUUGUUUGAUGCCCUAUCUACCUCAAGUAUAGCAGGUAUUGUUAUACAUUAGCUAUUGACGAGAAACUUAAAACACGGUGAGACCAAGUGACCACACAAUUUUAUAAGUAUAUAUUCCAGGAUGCAUGCAGACUUUCAGAACCUACAGAGUAGACUUGAAGUGCCCUCUUCCUUUUAAGACUACAUGAGUUUUUAAAAAUUACAUUCCACAGAGAUAAGAUUUCUGCAUAGGUGACCCAAGAAAGUAAAGUUAUAGCAAGACUCUCAGGGCAUACGAUUCUGUUGACCCCUGCCUAGUGAGACUGAUUCCAUUAAUCAUUUUUCUAUUAACAAUUCUGAGAUUCUUCCAAGGUGUUUCCUAAUGAGAGCCAGAGGCAAAAGCAGUGGAUGAAACUGAAGGUCGGAAAUGCUUUGCACAAUUAGAAAAAAACUGUCUUAUAGGGCACAGGGAAAGGCAACGUGAUUUACUAAGAGAUUAUCCCCAAGAAUGGUGCUUACGUGAUUUCCCUGCUAAAGCUUUGUUUUUUGUACUCUUUUAGCUUUGGAGGUGAAAGUAAUACUUAACUGAAAAAUAAUUUUAAAAUAGUUGUAUAUUUAUGUGCUUAAUUUCAUACCCUUCUAUCCUGCCUUCACCUGGCCUACCAGACAGAAGGCAAUGCAGUACUGCAUCCCAGUAGGUGCUAUGGGCCAGGCCUAUUAUGUCUUCAUGGAUAAAUCCUUAGCUAGGAGAAUGUCUGUCUUGCCACCCCAUACAACUGACUUAACCAUUCUGUUUCUGUGUACUGCUUUUCUCAUCCAUAAAAUGGGAAGAAUACUGCCCAUGGUGUCCUUUAACCUGAACUAAGUGUUGUGUUUUCAGCUGGAGGUAAAGCAUUAAUUAAUAAUCCUUUAAAAUUGCUCCAGUUGAAAAGGCAACCCAUCACUGAAAACCAAAAUAUCUAUCUUGUUUCCCUUGGUGAAAUACCAGUUUCCACUUCACCAGAAUCUGAUUUCAGCCUCUCACUUGAUCUUACCAGGUUCUGCCAUUUCCUGUUCAAAGUCAGAAGAAGCUAAGAUGGUUAUCUCAAACACCAGCAAUCUUGUUUUGGGUUGUUUUAUAUUUUGCUAGUAUCUUAAGAAGAGAGAAUAAUCUAGGAAAUAGGAUUUUUAGUUGGUCUUUCACCUCUGGACAAUGCAACUUUGCCUAAAAAGAGAACAUCUAACUCAAGGUACAAACGGUUAUAUCUGCCAAUGUUGCCUAUCACACAGAAAGGCAACCAGUUAAAACAAGGCUUAAUGAUAACAGUGACUGUUCUUCACUGUUUUCCUUUUGUAACAUGGUAAUAAUAUUUUUCUUCUACUUCUCUAACUCAGAGAUGUAAAAAUGCAAAGUAAAGCUUGUAACAGAUUGUGAAUGUUCAAUAGAGGAAUAAAUAAAUAAAAUAUAGAACUUAUAUGGUAAAGAAGUAUAAUUAAGAGGCUUGCCCUAGGUCUAUAUGCCUUAACACGUAUAGAUCUUAAAAUCAUGUGUGAAAAACAAAACUUGCUGAGCAAUGCAUACAGUAGACCGUUGACGUCAAAUUAAAUUUUCACAGGAGAGGAGCAUGGAAAGAUGAUGGUGGAGACAGCAGAAUUCUGGAAUCUCUUUGAUUCUCUACCAAAAAAAAAAAAAAA